rnacentral:rRNA from 1 species
GCCGGCGAGUGGACGGAACGGGUGAGUAAUAUAGUACGGAACGUUACCUUCAGGGUGGGGGAAUAACGUAGACGAAAGUUACGCUAAUACCGCAUAUUCUGUGAGCAGGAAAGCAGGGGAUCGCAAGACCUUGCGCUGAUUGAGCGGCCGAUAUCAGAUUAGCUAGUUGGUGAGGUAAAGGCCUACCAAGGCGACGAUCUGUAGCUGGUCUGAGAGGAUGGCCAGCCACACUGGAACUGAGACACGGUCCAGACUCCUACGGGAGGCAGCAGUGGGGAAUAUUGGACAAUGGGGGCAACCCUGAUCCAGCCAUGCCGCGUGAGUGAAGAAGGCCUUCGGGUUGUAAAGCUCUUUCGGCCGGGAAGAAAUCGCACGGGUUAAUACCCUGUGUGGAUGACGGUACCGGAAUAAGAAGCACCGGCUAACUACGUG